rnacentral:rRNA from 1 species
UACCCGCGUCGACUAGGUCGUUGCGGCGCACGUCACUACUUCCGGAAGCCCAACAUUUGACGAAAACAGCCCCUUCUAAUACUGCCAUGGAGAGCUUAUUCCUGGCCGAUUGAGGCACGGUCGUCGGCGCCAUUAU